AACAAUGUCACUGAAAGGAACCGUGAGGCAGUCGUGUCUACCUUAGCACGAAGACAAGGGCAGUUGGUCAUCUGGCUUCUUGGUGACUGGCUAGCCUGUCCGGGAAAUCCCCCCUGGGCCACAGGCCCGCCGGGCUGAGGGUCUAGUCUUCCGGGAAAGGGACUUGCCACGCUUUGGGACAGGCUCUGAAGGCGGAGCCUGGAGCUCUCUGCUUCGGGCUUAGAGGCAGAGAGGGAGGAGAGGCCUGGCGGGCGUGGGGCGGGGCUCUUCCGGUAACGGUUAACGGCUGCCGGUUGCCGCUGCUGCCGCGCUCCUCCCCUGGCUGCGGCAGAGGCGCGCGCCUGCGCUGUGAGGAUCCCGCCCUCGAGCCGCCUGGAGCCUCCCAGAGGGACUGAGCGGCCCUGACGAGGCGCGGGCGUUUGGGCUUCCCAGGAUAAAGAACAUCAGGACGUGGGGCCAAGUGCGUGUCCACGGAGUGCCAGAGCCACGCGCAAUGGUGUUUCAGCGCCGACCCUGCUGAGCUUUCAGCACCCGUGAGAGAUGAGAAUCCAGUUUCAUUCUCCUACAUCUGGCUUGCGAAUUAUCCCAGCAGAAUCUGUGAUAAACCCACAACCAACAUCAUAUGGAAUGGGGAAAAGUUGAAAGCAUUCCCCAUAAGAUCUGGAACAAGACAAGGAUGCCCACUUUCAUCAUUUCUAUUCAACAUAGAACAAUCAGACAACAGAAGGAAAUAAAGGACAUCCAAAUUAGUAAAGAGGAAGUCAAACUGUUGCUGUUUGCUGAUGAUAUAUUUGUAUACCUAGAAAACCCUAAAGAUGUAUCCAAAAAGCUCAUAGAGCUAAUAAAUGAAUUCAGCGAAGUUUCAGGUUACAAAAUUAAUACAUGAAUAAGUUCUUUAGUGGUGAUUUCUACACAAAUCUGGAGCUCACAAAUAUCCCCAGACAAGUGCAAACUAUAUGCAGUUUGGGUCCUCCCUACACCAAGCAAAAGCUUCAUUCUUUUUUGGGAAUAGCUGGGUUUUGCAGAAUAUAAAUACCAAAUUUCAGAAUCACAGUAAAGCCUCUUUAUGAAGCAACAAGGGGGCUGGAAAAGGAACUAAUGGAAUGGACCCUGGAAAUGAGAAGCCUUCACCAAGCUAAAAGAGGCUCCCACUCUGGGAAUCCCAGGCAUAAGUAAGCCCUUCCCUUUGUAUGUAGCACAAAAAAAAAAAAAAAAAAAAAAAGGGCAUAGCUAUGGGAGUGCUAACCCAGAAAUUAGGAUCAGAACCCAGACAAACUGCCUACUUUUCAAAUGAGUAAGACAGAGCAGCUUCGGAUGCCCGAGUUGCCUGUGGGCAAUAGCACCCACUGUUAUGUUAGUGAAGGAAGCAACUAGAAUCACCCUUGGUCAACCACUGGAAGUUCUAAUUUCCCAUCAGGUGAAUUCAGUCUUUGAAAUAAAAGGACACAUCUGGAUGAUGGGAGAAUGGUUAAAAAAAUACCAGGCCGUGCUCCUAAGCAAUCCAGAUACAACCCUUAAAACCUGUAACCAUUUGAAUCCAGCUUCAUUGGACCCACGGGGCCAAUAACUGAUCAUCCCAUGGCAGGUUGUUACAUACACAUCUUAGCUGGCCUGAUUUAAAAGAUCAACCUCUCCCAGAUCCUAAGGAUGACCAGUUUUCAGAUGACAGUAGUUUUGUGUGAAAUGGGAAGUGCCAAACUGGAUAUAGUCAAUGCCCCCUGGCGCAUCAGCACAAAAGGCCAAAAUCUUGUGUGAGCAUUAAUGUUGGGACAAGGGAAAAAGCUUAGCAUUUAUAGAGGUUCUAAAUAUGCAUUCCUUGUGGUUCAUACUCAUGCUUCAAUCUGAAAAGAAAGAAGACUACUAACUAGCAAACACUCCCCUAUAAAGCCUGGGACUGAAAUUCUUCAGCUAUUGGAAGGAAUAUUCCUGCCAAAAGCUGUAGCUAUAAUUGCAGGGAGCAUCAAAGAGACCUAGUGGCUAUAGCACAGGGGAACAGAAAGGCUGAUAGAGAAGCCAAAGCCCUUAGCAUGCAGUCCCAGCAGAUCCUAGCACCACUUCCUUUCUGUGAUUCCCCAAUAGAGCCUGAAUACACAGGAAGAACAGUUAAUAGAGGAGAAAGAAGACAAAAACAAGGAUCCUGGUGGUAUAUGGCAUCAAAAUUAUAUCUCCAUCAACCAACCCAAUGACUUAUAAAAACCCUGCUUAACUUUCUGUAUAAGGAGGGGGGCCGCCCUGGCCGUGGUUAACAGUCUCUUCAUCGGGCCUAACUUGGCUUCGGUGGUUAAGCAGGUCUGUCAAGCCCACUCACUGUGUGCACUUCAAAACUCAGGAAACAGCCAGGCGUGGUGGCUCACACCUGUAAUCCCAGCACUUUGGUAGGCUGAGGUGGGCAGAUCACAAGGUCAGGAGUUCGAGACCAUCCUGGCCAACAUGGUGAAAUCCUGUCUCUGCUAAAAAUGCAUAAAAAAAAAAAAUAGCUGAGCGUGGUGGCAUGUACCUGUAAUCCCAGCUACUUGGGAGGCUAAGGCAGGAGAAUCGCUCGAACCAGGGAGUCAGAGGUUGCAGUGUGUGGAGAUUGCGCCACUGCACUCCAGCCUGGCAACAGAGCAAGACUCUGUCUCAAAAAAAAAAAAAAGAAAGAAAACCUUCAGGAAGCAAAAUGCCUCCUGUAAUUGGACAAGGCCAGAGGAGAGAAACGUAGCCAGGGAAACUGGCACUUAGACUUCAUCACUGUGCUAUGCUGGUUUGCAGAGGAUACACAUUUUUGUUAGUGCUAAUAGAUACCUUUACUGGUUAGGCUGAAGGUCACCCUACUAGAACAGAGAAGAAUAAUGAGGUUAUAAAGAUUAUCUUAAAUGAAAUAAUCCUCUGGUUUCGUUCACCUCAGAGCCUCCAAAGUAAUAAUGAGUCAACCUUUAUCUCCCAAAUAACUCAAAGGGUUGCUAAGGCUCUUGAUGAAACACAUUUACAUUCAACAUAGAGGUCUCGAUCCUUUAGGAAAGUAGAAAGGGCUAACCAAACUCUAAAAUGGGCAUUACCUAAGCUAUGUCAGGAAAUAUCAGAAACCUGAGUCAGCUUACGCUCAUAGCCCUAGAGCAAAAACUAAUAUCAGCUCAUAUGAAAUGUGAUAUUAGCCCUAGAGCAAAAACUAAUAUAAGCUCAUAUGAAAUGUUAUAUGUAAGGCUAUUUUUAACUAAUGAUCUAAUUACUGAUCCAGAAGCAUCCGGUUUAGUAAAAUACCUAGUUAAUCUGGGAUAAUUUCAGCAAGUUUUAAAAAACCUUGGAACUCAAAGACUUCCCAUGCUGGGAACUAACCAGCAACCUCCAAAUUAGGCCAGGAGAUAAGGUACUCAUUAAAACAUGGAAGGAGGGAUCACCUCAACAAUUAUAACCACAGUGGAAGGAACUGUUUUCAGUUAUACUGGCCAUGCCUUCUGCAGUCACAGUACUAGCAUUAGGUAGUUGGCUACAUUUUCAAGGGUCAGCUCUGCAAUACCAAAGCCCUGAACCUGGAACCUGAAGUGCCCAUCAGCCACUACACCUGUGAACCUGUAAGACCCUGAAGACCUGUUUAAAAGACAGCCAAGAGAUAAGUAAAUGUCUACCAACUUUUCUUGGUGUCUUUGUUGCAUAGCUACUGUAGGUUGGAUAAUAGUAGCCAUUUUUAUAUUGUUAUAGUUUAAUUGCCUUCUUCCAAACAGAUGGAAUCACUCCCUUAGCAAUAAUUAAGCAAGGUGUUUAAAUUCAUUUCUAUAACAGUCACUCCUGACAGUAAUAGCUAUCCACCCCCUGAAGUUCCCAUUUGAUAGAAAAAAUAGCAAGUAUUUUUGGUUCAUAAUGGUCACCCAUGCCCUGUGUAUACUGGAAACAUGCCUACUGGGAAUCAGUCUUAAUUUACAACAGAGCUAUACCCCUUCAGCAAUUAAUAGGUUCUGAGUAUUUAUUAAGAACUUUAACACAAAGACUGUUAAAUACCACCAGUCCAACUUUGGCAAAGGACUGUUGGCUUUACUUAGCUCCAUUAUCAUCCAAAUACACUGCCAUCCCAAUCCCAGCCCAAUCUUGGGCCCUUUAAAAGAAAGACCUAUAGCCCUAACUACCAGAGAGAAACUUCUUGAGAUAAAUGAACUUGGGUGACUUAUAUGACUUCAAAAUUUUAGAAAUGACAAGGGGUACAAUGACAGGAUGAACAGUAAACCUUCUUCAGUCCUAAUAGAGCAAUCUUUCUGGUGUGCAUCCCCACAGAAACCCAUAUGGGGCUCAGUAUCAAUGCACACAGAGCUAAAAUUCCAAGCACCACUUUGUAUAAAGAAAAGCCAACAUUUUGGUCAGGCCUGGGCACCUUGAAAAGUCAUCAUUGUAACUACACCCAAGAGAUUAACCUCUCAGAGGAUCAUGUAAGCUACACAGUUACCCAGACCACAUAAUUUAGAAUAUCUAUAAGGUCUUCAUGCAAACCAUCCCUAGUUAAGGGCACUUAAAAGAAUAUGCAGUCUAAGUACUGUCAAGGUAGGCCCACUACCUCUGUUCACAUUUCCCUUGGGAAGACUGCUAAUUCGGAGAAAUUUAUUUGCCCUUUGGUUCCUGAGUACGAACAUACCUCUGGGUGAUUGCUGGUGGACACUAAGAGUAGCUACCUGUAGUGGGAAAACAGAACUGCUGGGGCAAGUCAGGGUACUUUUCAAGAUCCUUCUCAGCCUUAACCAGGGUCACCUUAGCAGGUACACUGAGCACCUGGGAGAGAGAAAGCAACAAGUUAACCCAUAUGUUCACCAUAGAAAACACUUUUUAUCUUGAAAAACAAGGAGCCUUUUCCUGUACAGGACCGGUUCCUACUUAUAUUUACCAGCCAAUUAUACUGGAGUCUGUAUACUUUUUUAUUUAGCCCUCAAAAUUAAUAUAGCUCCCCAAAACCAAUCCCUUAUUAUAUAUACCUUUAACUGCAACCGCCAGGCACAAAUGAGCUAUCCAACUCAGUACCCCUUUUGGUAGGGCUAGGAAUAGCAGUGGGAGUAGGAAAAGGAGUUGAACAAGAGUUAGCAGGCUUGCAACUUCCCUAUCCUAUUACCAGUGCUGUCCAAGGAUUUUAUGGAAGCUUGGAUGACAUUGCCCAAAGUAUCAUUACCAUACAAAAUCAGAGAGAUUACUUGGCAGCAGUAGUUUUACAAAAUAGAACGGGACUAAUCUAGAGGGAGGGCUUAUGUCUUUUCCUAGAGGAAGAAUGCUGUUUUUAUGUCAAUCAGUCAGGAAUAGUAAGGGGUGCUGCCCAAAAGCUAGCUGGUUGAGCCUCUAGCAUACGAUAACAGCUGUCUGAGUCAUGGGGGUCUUGGUCAAAAAAGACCAAUAAGAUCAGUAAAGAUCCCCUUCCUAAGUUGGGGAUCAUGGUUCCUUCCUCUGGCUGGCCCAUUAUUAAUGAUUAUACUUUUCUUGGUUUUUGGACCAUGUUUGUUAAAUCUUUUAACCAAAUUCAUUUCUUGUCACCUAGAGACCAUCAAGCUUCAGAUGAUCAUGUGAUGUUUUCAGCCAGUUUCGGGGGAAGACACCACUCCAGGCUAUCAAGAAACUACUCUGUUUUCAGUAGACAGAGCGGGGUGAGAGUUCCAUGAUUCCCCAAUAGGUAGGGACUAUACUCCAAGUCGGCAUGAAGCAGUUACAGAAGAAAGACCAUUGGUCUCUCUGUGUCCCAUAAAGAUUUGUGGGUAUCAUGUCUCUCAGGGGGAAAUGAGGCUGGAGUAUAUGGCCUGGAGGCAGGGAACCUAAGGCCACACAGACUUCCUAGAACUAAAUCAAAAGGAAAGCCCCAACUUUCUAUGCUCAAGUAACAAAAGGACAAGAAGCUACUCCCUUUUCAACUCUCCCCUGUUUGAUGCAUGGCAGAUGGAAUAAUUAAAAGUACCUCUCAUUGGUCUCCUCCCACAACCAAUCAGACUGGUUAUGGGCCUAGUAUCCAUUUGCAAAGGAGUAUAAAUUUGUAACUUUACCUUUGGCUUCUGAUUGGUUCCCCCCUCACAGCCAAUCUGACAUUUGCAUAGGGUGUAACUUUGUUACUUUGCUUCAGCCUCUAAUCAGCUUCCACAACCGAUUAGACUGGUCACGGGCCACUCCCUCAUUUAUAUCAUGUGUAAACCCAGUAACCAAUGGGAAACUUCUAAAGGGGUUUAAAUAAAACCCCAGGAAAUUCGGUAACCAGCCACUUGCUCAAGCCCACUCCUGCUGUCUGGAAUGUACUUUUAUUUAAAUAAAUCAUCUACUUUCAUUACUUCAUUCUUUCAUUGCUUUGUCUGUGUGUUUUAGCAAAUUUUUUGUUUGAAAUGACAAGAGUCUGGACAAUUCAUAGUCAAGACCCUCCACUAGUAACACCUCUACUCCACCAUCCAUUACACACACACACACACACACACACACACACACGUCAAGAGGGUAAGCAAGAAUAAACAGAGCUUUUCUAAGAUGAAUGAACAGUCAUACAUCUAACCUUUAUAGAAUACAUUCAUUUCAGUACAGGUGAUAUUCUUAGGACUAAAUAAAUUAUUUAAAGCUGAAAGGGACCAAGCAUGGUGGCUCAUACCUGUAAUUCCAGCAUCCUGGGAGGAUAAGGUGGGAGGAUCACUUGAGGCCAGGAGUUUGAGAAAAGCCUGGGCAACGUUGUGCAAACCCUCUGUGUGGAUAAAAAUAGAAUUUUUUAAGUUGAAAAAAUUUAUAAGCAAAUAAAAAUUUUAUGCUAUGUUGCAAACUUUGGGUCUUCUUGUUGGAGAAAGCACUGGCCCUACCUUUAGAGAAAUACAUGUGCAAUGGAGAGCCUGACUCAAAACUCAAUAUGAGCUAGAUCAUGGAAGCCUCACACUUAAAACUUCCCGUGUUUGACCUGCUGGAGAGAAUAAAAACUGGUGUGGUGUCUGCAUACCCUGAGAGCUACUUUCAAACCAGGAAACUGUCCAUCAUGGUUUCUGUUCCAUCAACCUGUGUGUUUUAGAGAUGGCCAGGAUAGA